rnacentral:rRNA from 1 species
GCUUAUGGCCAUACCACCCUGUGUCCGCCCGAUUUCAUCUGAUCUCGGAAGCUAAGCAGCGUUGGGUCUGGUUAGUACUUGGAUGGGAGACCGCCUGGGAAUACCAAUUGCUGUAAGCU